GCUCAAUUGCAUGCAUGACUUCCGGUCCGAAGUGUUGUCUCGCGGCGGAGCGCUUGAGCUGCCGUGCCCCACUAUUAGCGUGCGCUACUCCCGUUGGCCUGCGUUGGUACCGCAUGUAGCUGUAGGCUCCUCCCCCUGUUAUCGUCAGUGUGCCGCCAAUCGAGUCAACAGGUAUAGUGUGUUUUAAUCCAGCAUUGGGCCCAUACGGUAAUUUCAAUAAUAAACAUUUUUACCAAUUGUAUACAUUCUGUUUUUAGAUGAGGGACGGCUACUGAGCAACCUGAACGGCUGAACCCUGCUGCUUUGUCUUUAUAUUUCGUCUGCAGUUUCAAUUACAGCGCCGUCCGCUGUUGUGUUUACAGCUUUGUCUGUUGUCCUUGUUUAUAGCGCUGUUUGUUGUCUGUUGCCUACAGCGUUGCAACAGAUUUGGCGUUGUGUUACCACGGCCGAAACCGUUACAGCCAUUUUUCAUAAGUGUGCCGCCUUGGCCAUUGGGUUUCUUUUGCUUUGAAUAUAGUUUGUUUAUUUACUUUCUUUUCUGUUUUUGAGCAAAGGAUAUUUUGUUUGGAUUGAUUGUUUGCCCCGUUUUGGUUUCGUAUUAGUUUUGUUUUAUUGUGUUUGAUUCUUGUCUGUUUUACUUUACAGAGGUCUGUGGUGGCGGCGGUGUCCCUUUUCUUCCUGUGUGCUGUGCUUCCCUGGGAUUUGUGUUUGUGUGUGUGAUUAUCAUUUACCCGGGUGAUUUAUAUUAUUUGGACCCUUCCCUUCGCUAGUCCCCCCAUUCACAUCAGCCUCCGUCAGAACAGUUUAUUGUGUGAUUAGUCCAUUGGAUUAAUUAAAUAAAAUAUAUAUUGUUAAAACUGUGAACCACGUCUCCUGCCAUUAGAGUCAACUUACUUGCGUGUCCUAAAUUAAAUCUUUGGGUGAAAGUCCCAAGGUGGCGUUGUCUGCAACCUCCUGAACACGGGCUGUGCUUGGUGUGGUCCCUAACGUGACCUCGCCCCACGCCCGCUUCUCCCCUCGCCCUGCCACACACUGAUGACAGCAAACGUAUAUAGAACGCAGAGUCUAUAGGACGUUAAAUUGCCAACUUGGCUUAUUCACUGCUGAAAGAACGAAAGGCAGCAGCUUUACUUUGUAAACUGCCAACUUAUACACAACUCGUAUGAGAUGUGGUGCUUUACUGCAAACGACUGUAUCAGUGUGUUUUAUCUACUGAUUAUACACAUUUUAUGUGUUUAGGCCAUUUAUAAGAUCUCGUUAACAUCACUAAAGGUAAUUUCCAAAUACAUUAAAGAAAAGAAAAAGACAAAAGCAAAGAGACUUUGCAGCAGUAGCACACUUUUAUUUGAACAGAGUGGGAGACGAAUCAGGGGCCGUAUUCACAAAGCAUUUUAUCUUACCGCUAGGAGUGCUCCUAACUCGCGCUAAACCAUUUUACGUAGGAGUUUUUUCUUAAAAGUUAUUCACAAAGCCGCUGAGACCUAGGCUACUCUUACUAAGGAUAAAUCACAAAGAGUGACCUAAGAGUGACGCGCCGUUGCUAUGGAUUACGUAAAUUCUCGUGCACGAGUUUAGAAGCGGUCAGUUCGGUGAUUGGAGCAAGGUACGUUUUAUUACUCUGUUUUCUGGGAAUAAUUGACGCAAGCAGAAACCAGAAAACAAGCCGUUUUUUCGUUUUGACAAGAAAACGAAAAUCAAGAUUUCAGUUUGUUUAUUCGUUUCUACGUUUUGUCAAAAAAACGAAAAUCAAUAUUUCAGUUUGUUUAUUCGUUUUUUGGUUCUUACUGAGCGAAACGAGUUUACCACUCAAUAUCUGGGGCCGUAUUCACAAAGGAUCUUAGGGCUAAAAGUAGGUCCUAACUGGCGAAUUUAGGAGUAACUCCUAAAAAUAAUGGGCGUGUCACUCUUAAAUUUAGGACUCCUAACUUUUUUCACUAAGAGCAAUUCACAAAGUAUUUUAGGACUAAAAGUAGCACCUAAAUCUAGGAGAGCUUAAAAGUCCUCAAGAGGACUCCUAACUCAGUAAGACCUAUUCACAAAGAAUCUUAAAAUGCCUGCGAGACGAAAUGUUAGGGUAUUCAACUUAUUGUGGAGUUAAUGCGCGAUGCAAUAACAUC